GUGAACCUUUGGGCUGCUGCUGCUGCUACGGUUGCGGCUGCUACUGUGUGUACACUUUCCCCAUAGGAAUGCCACAGGAGAGAGACUUCCUCCUCCUCCUCUUCCUACCAUCUCCUCUGCUGCCAGCAAUGAGCCCUGGGGGGCAUGCACAGACACUCAGGGUUUACGGAUGACCAGAAGGCGCGGCUUCUCCUUUCUGCUGACAGUGGGAAGCAUGGGAAACACUCAUACCACACAGUUGCCCGACCCCCCUCUCCAGCUCUGUCACCACCCAUUUCCUCCCAAGAUGGAAGGCUGCCUUUUCUUGCCAAUGUCCCUGCAUUGGCCAGAAGCACACAUUGUAUCUUUGGAGAGGUUCCAGGGCCCACACCUGGGUUAGCCCUGUUCUGGAACAUGCCUAGCAGCAGAAAAAUAGUCAUUACUGAGCCCUCUUCUGGGGGACUCCAGGCUCAUUGUGUCCCCCUGCCUCCCCUUGUAGAGGCUAGAAAGCUUUUGGAGAAGCACCUCUUGGGCACAGAGAAAUAGUCAGAAUGUGGAGCUUCUCAGGGUCGUUUCUUUGCACCCCAAGUGUUUCAGAGAAGGAGGGGGGUGGUGAGGCGGUUGAGGAAGGAUGAGAACGUGAGAAGAGAGAACCAUCCUAGUUUCUAUAGCAACCACACAUGUGAGCCAGCUGCUGUUGCCAUGGAAACAAGGAGAGCCUGCUCAGAGCCCGAACCCUCUCAGGGGAGACACAAUUUUUGAAAGGAAGAAAAAAAAAUAAAAAUAAAAAGCCAACAACAACAACAAAAAGAAAAAACCUAACAACAACAGAAACCCCGAACCUUUGGUAAAAAUAAAUAAAAAAUAAUAAAAGUCACCGUCUCUGGGUCUUGCUAGUGCUGUUGCUUGUGAGGUGACAAAGGAGAGGAGGGGGAGGCUGGUUGAGGAGGAGGUGUGGGCAAGAGCAUUUGCUGCAGGAGAGGGAGAUUUGUUGAGUCAGUAUUUCAG
rnacentral:lncRNA from 1 species